CCGCGAUUCGCCCUUCGGGGUGCAGCAGGCGCGAAAACUUUACAAUGCUGGCAACAGCGAUAAGGGGACCUUGAGUGCCAGGAUACAAUCCUGGCUGUCGUGAUGCCUAAAAAGCAUUAUAUAGCAAGGGCCGGGCAAGACCGGUGCCAGCCGCCGCGGUAACACCGGCGGCUCGAGUGGUAACCGCUAUUAUUGGGUCUAAAGGGUCUGUAGCCGGCUUGGUUAGUCUCUUGGGAAAUCCGGCAGCUUAACUGUCGGGCUUUCAGGAGAUACUGCCAGGCUCGAGACCGGGAGAGGUGAGAGGUACUUCAUGGGUAGGGGUGAAAUCUUGUAAUCCUUGAAGGACCACCAGUGGCGAAGGCGUCUCACCAGAACGGAUCUGACGGCAAGGGACGAAAGCUAGGGGCACGAACCGGAUUAGAUACCCGGGUAGUCCUAGCCGUAAACGAUACUCGCUAGGUGUCGGCCACGGUGCGACCGUGGUCGGUGCCGUAGGGAAGCCGUGAAGCGAGCCACCUGGGAAGUACGGCCGCAAGGCUGAAACUUAAAGGAAUUGGCGGGGGAGCAC
rnacentral:rRNA from 1 species